GGAGAGGUGCGCCGAAUGGCAAGGCAGCAGUUUGCUAAACUGUAUCCCGCUAGAAACGGGAUUGCGGGUUCGAGUCCCGCCCUCUCCG
rnacentral:tRNA from 1 species